GAUACUUUGGCCGAGUGCUUAAGGCAGCGGCCUGCUAAGCCGUUGGUCUCUGCCCGCGUGGGUUCGAAUCCCACAAGUGUCG
rnacentral:tRNA from 1 species